rnacentral:rRNA from 1 species
UACGAAGGGUGCAAGCGUUACUCGGAAUUACUGGGCGUAAAGCGUGCGUAGGUGGUCUGUUAAGUCUGAUGUGAAAGCCCUGGGCUCAACCUGGGAAUUGCAUUGAUACUGGCAGGCUAGAGUGCGGUAGAGGAUGGCGGAAUUCCCGGUGUAGCAGUGAAAUGCGUAGAGAUCGGGAGGAACAUCGUGUGGCGAAGCGGCCA